UUUUGAAGGUGACAUUGUAAAUAUGUUUCUAAAGUGCUUUUUUAUUAAACUUCAGUGGUAGUUAGCAGUAGCAAAUUCAUUUCUUUAACCAAUUUUAACUUGUCAUAUGGAGAUUUUCAUAUAAAGUUACAUGCUUUUUAAACAACACUUUUCACCUUAAAACUCACUUCUGCCUUGGAUGGAUGACUGUAUACGCAAAGUUGUGUUAGGUUCUAGCUCUACUGAUGGUGCAUAUCUAAUCAAUGAUGAUCUAAGUGUAUGUUGUUUACAAGCAGUUUGGUACACUGAUAUCUGCACUUCCAAUUUCAUUAAAUAGAUACAAAAUUAUCUUUAUGCAUUCACACUUAAGCUGUUUCUUUUUAUACUCUAAGUGAAAUCGGAUGUUUGACAAUAGUAUACCUUACAUGCUUAAACAAAAGAUAGAAUAGAUCGAUUAGCGCAAUAUAAUUAAUUUGUUGCAAGGUGAGUUCUUAUUCAUAUCUUUGUGCUGAUUGUUGUCAUUCAAAUAACAUAUGUCGAGUUAAGAUGAACCUAAUCCAUCCCUGUUAGUUUCAUGUCAAUGUUUGGAAGAAUGUUGUACGAUACUGGAUCAUAUAAAGGUGUUAGUUUAGCUUCUGGAAAGAAUAUAGAGGUUUAUUCAUUGUAGGGUAGAAAAAGUAGAGGCCAAGUAAGUAUCCGACUAAAGUUCCACAUCGUCUAAUGCGUAAAAGAAAUUAAGCUGCUCAGAUAUAAAAUGAAAGGACCUCUAAUUAGGCUAUUUACGGAGUCGUGUGAUGAUGACAUAGCGAACUAUUCUUUCGCCUUUUACUAAAGAAUACCGUGUCAGCGUCACAUUUAGCGGCAUACGCUAGUUUUUGGAAGAGUCUUCUUCAUUGAGGGCUCUGCAACUUUAGUUCAAGAUUAUGUUUGAAUCUUUUUUAUUUUUGAUAAUUCUCACUAUUUUUUUUAGUUUUAAAUUUAAAUUAAUUCUGUUUUAUUCUAUAAAAUUAUGAGCUUCUAAGUGUUGUUAUAAUCAGAAAAAUAUUAUGAGAUACAUAAAGCUGGAUGUGUAUCUGGGUUGGUAAGAUAUUUUUGAAAAAACUUAAUAGUAACAGCUGAAUGAUUAGAUUUGUAAAACAUUACCUCAUAGUUGGCCUCUACAUUAACUUACACUCUAAUGAGAACCCAUCUAUCUGCAAAUGAUGUUAUAUUGAGUCACAGAUUGGAAAGCAUGAUCAAACUCGUCAUCGCAAAAUUGCGAUGAACCCAUAGGCCAAAUAAUUAAAUGAACCUAGCAGACUAAUACCCCAAUAACAAGAACAAUCUCUUGGCAAUUUUGAUACUGAAACCACGUUGAUUUAAACUAAACAAUGGCAGGUAUAAAACAUCAAUUAAGAUGAUAGAGUCAGUGACAUGCACUUCCAUUACAAAAUUCUGCUAUGGAGGUCACUGUAGUGAGGCAACAUCUGCUCCUCCUUUCAAUGUAUUAGACUUGAGCAUUGCUAUUAAUCCUCUACAGUAAGAUUUUCAAUUUCUUUUUGUUCAGCAUCCCCAGGUGCAUUUGCUUCUGAAUUAUCUACUUCAACGCAAUUACUUCCUGUAUAAUUACUUCCAAGUUUGCCACAGUAUGAGCACGUCUUAGAAUUUUCUCUACUUCUCUCGAAGAAAUUUCCACUAGAUCCAUUAUUAAAUCUUCUGCCAUCAGCCGCAUUAACAAUCAUCUUUAAUGUCAUCCAACCAAACUAUUUGGCCUCUCACGUUUAAUAAGACUAGAGAAAACCUUGUUCAUAUAAGGAAAAGAAGGCAAUAAAAGCAGUUGAGAGCAUACUGCUGCAAAGGACUCAUUCCAUCGUAACAAAUAGUUUCAUCUUUUUCGGAUAUGCUUAAACAAAAGAUGGAAUAGAUCGAUUAGCUCAAUACAGUUCUUUUGUUGCAAGCAAGGUGAGUUCUUAUUCAUGUCUUUGUGCUGAUUGUUGUCAUUAGAAUAACAUAGUGUGAGUCAAGAUGAACCCAAUCCAUCCCUGUUAGUUUCAUGUCAAUGUUUGGAAGAAUGUUGUACGGUACUGGAUCAUAUAAAGGUGUUAGUUUAGCUACGGGGAAGAAUUUAGAUGUUUUUUCAUUGGAGGGUAGAAAAAGUAGAGGCCAAGCAAGUAUCUCACUAAAGUCCCACAUAGUUUAAUGCCUAAAAGAAAUUAAGCUGCUCAGAUAUAAAAUGAAAGGACCUCUAAUUAGGCUAUUUACGGAGCCGUGUGAUGAUGACAUAGCGAACUAUUCUUUCGCCUUUUACUAAAGAAUACCGUGUCAGCGUCACAAUUAGCGGCAUACGCUAGUUUUUGGAAGAGUUCUCUUUAUUGAGGGCUCUGCAAUAUUAGUUCAAGUUUAUGUGUUUUCUGUUUUUCCGGUUGAUGUUUUUGUUUGGAUGUUUAGUUUUUGGUAUUUCACACUAUUUUUUGUUCUUAUACUAAAAAAAAUCAUUCCAUACAGCAUGUUGCUUCAAGGAUUCUGCUGUAUCAAAGUAGAGUAAGAGUAAAAUAUACAAUAGCAAGAAGAAAUGGCAGGUACAAAACAUCAAUUAAGAUGAUUGAGUCAGGGAGAUGCACUUCAUUAGGAUUCUGUUGUCUCAAACAAGUAGAGUCCAUUUUACAAAAACUGUCUUGUAUGUGACACAUCUUGUAUCAAGCAGUCCUUAAUUUAACUGGUAUUGUGUUUAUCCCUAAGAAAACAUGUCUAAAGUAAGCAUACGUGGUCCGCAGCACCAUUAUAAAAAAAUUCAUACCGUGUGAGGCAACAUCUGCUCCUCUUUUCAAUUUGUUAGGCUUGAGCAUUGCUAUUAAUCCUCUACAGGAAGAUUUUCAAUUUGUUUAACGCAAUUGCUUCCUGUAGAAUUACUUCCAAGUUUGCCACAGUAUGAGCACGUCUUAGAAUUUUCUCUACUUCUCUCAAAGAGAUUGACCAAAAUUUCCACUAGAUCCAUGAUUAAAUCUUCUUCCAUCAGCCGCAUUAACAAUCUCCUGCGGAUCUUUAAUGUCAUCCAAACUAUUUUGCCUCUCAUGUUUAAUAAGACCAGAGAAAACUUGUUCAUAUAAGGAAAAGAAGGCAAUAAAAGCAGUUGAGAGCAUACUGCUGCAAAGGACUCAUUCCAUUGUAACAAAUAGUUUAAUCUUUUUUCCUUGAAUUUAAGAUCCAGGUGUUGGCCGCGUUAUACAUCAUGUAUGAUUUCAAUGAUGCUGCGGCCGGCCAUGAAGUGGGCUGUGAGACGCACUCAGAAGGAUUCUUUUGUUGCUAUAGCCAUGGUAGGUUUUGAUCAUGAAAAUGGCGAGGUUCGUAAAGACUUACUUAAAACAAAAGAUGGAACAGAUCACUGGUUCAUACAGGUCCUCUGUUGUAAGAUCUGCCAUCUGUGUUGAGUUUGACGUAGUUACUUUGAAGAGGUUGCCAACUAAUCAUAACCAACCAUCCGUGUUCAGCUUGACGUAGUUACUUUGAAGAGGUUGCCAACUAAUCAUAAUAACCGACGCCUUAUCCACCUUAGUAGUAACUGCACGUUGUGGGUUGUGGGGGAUGUUGUAAGAGAUGCUAAUGGUGUUUGGUUAGAUGGUUUUACGAAAAAUACAAGUGUGUGUUCUGCCUUUGUAGCAAAAUUGUGAGGUGUGUUUGAAGGCCUUAAUUAUACGAUCAAAUUAGGGAAGAAGGUGGAGUUGAAUGUGGAUUCUGUAGCGGUGAUGAAUGUUAUUAAAAAAAAGGCGCGUUAGAAAGCUCUAAAGGUUAUGCCUUGUUAAGGUAAAUUACAAGGUUGAUUGAGCUUCAGGAUGAUGCGUAAAUUAGUCACUCUUAUCGAGAAGCUAACAAGUGUGCAGAUGCGUUGGUAAAUGAAAGAUGCAACUUAAAUUGCAAUUUUGUUGAAUACAUAGUUACUCUUAUUUUUAUUAGUGGGUUGUUAGAGGAUGACUUGUUAGGAGUUUUUGUUCCUAGGUUGAUCCCUGUGUAGCUUUUCUUUCUUCGGGCUUUGGCCCUUUUGUUUACCAAAAAAUUAAAUUUGUAGAUCUGGCUCCAUUUGAAAACAUAAGCCAAUUUGAUUCAUUCAUAAUCUUAAUUUCAGUUUUGACUCAUUUACAUUAAGAUAUUAAGAUACAAUGUUUUUAAAGAAAAAAAAAGUUACCACUAUCCAAAUAUAAUUUUAAAAAAAAGGUCUAAAUAGCAAAACUUUAAAUGAAAAAAAAGUUUCAAUAACCAAAUUUUACACAAUUAGAAAUGAAUAAAAAAAAUUAAUGAUUUUUAAUUUGGGCCAACUUUCUAAAAUGGCUUAAUAAUUGCUUGUUUAAUCGAAUGAACCAAAAUAAAAGUAGAUUUGCGACCAAAAAGUUAAUUUUUGAAGAUAUAAAAUUGGACCGUCAAUGGCCGUCUAAUGUGUAAAAAACUGGAUUGAUUUUAAAAUGGACUCGAUUAUUGUUAAAACCCAAAAAAACUAGUAAUGAAAUCGAAUUCGGGAAAAAUUGAUUGUUGAAUCAGACGGAAAUGGACCUAUAUUUCUCAACCGAGGGUUGGGCCAAUUUGGGGUUUUGAGACUGAGCCCAAAAUUGAACCGGCCCAACCGAAUGUCUACCCCUAUAA